GGGAAAGGCGAAAAGAACCCCGGCGAGGGGAGUGAAAAAGAACCUGAAACCGUGUACGUACAAGCAGUGGGAGCACAGGUUUACCUGUGUGACUGCGUACCUUUUGUAUAAUGGGUCAGCGACUUAUAUUCUGUAGCAAGGUUAACCGUAUAGGGGAGCCGGAGGGAAACCGAGUCUUAAUUGGGCGUUAAGUUGCAGGGUAUAGACCCGAAACCCGGUGAUCUAGCCAUGGGCAGGUUGAAGGUUGGGUAACACUAACUGGAGGACCGAACCGACUAAUGUUGAAAAAUUAGCGGAUGACCUGUGGCUGGGGGUGAAAGGCCAAUCAAACCGGGAGAUAGCUGGUUCUCCCCGAAAGCUAUUUAGGUAGCGCCUCGUGAAUUCAUCUCCGGGGGUAGAGCACUGUUUCGGCUAGGGGGCCAUCCCGGCUUACCAACCCGAUGCAAACUGCGAAUACCGGAGAAUGUUAUCACGGGAGACACACGGCGGGUGCUAACGUCCGUCGUGAAGAGGGAAACAACCCAGACCGCCAGCUAAGGUCCCAAAGUCAUGGUUAAGUGGGAAACGAUGUGGGAAGGCCCAGACAGCCAGGAUGUUGGCUUAGAAGCAGCCAUCAUUUAAAGAAAGCGUAAUAGCUCACUGGUCGAGUCGGCCUGCGCGGAAGAUGUAACGGGGCUAAACCAUGCACCGAAGCUGCGGCAGCGACACUGUGUGUUGUUGGGUAGGGGAGCGUUCUGUAAGCCUGUGAAGGUGUGUCGUGAGGCAUGCUGGAGGUAUCAGAAGUGCGAAUGCUGACAUAAGUAACGAUAAAGCGGGUGAAAAGCCCGCUCGCCGGAAGACCAAGGGUUCCUGUCCAACGUUAAUCGGGGCAGGGUGAGUCGACCCCUAAGGCGAGGCCGAAAGGCGUAGUCGAUGGGAAACGGGUUAAUAUUCCCGUACUUGGUGUUACUGCGAAGGGGGGACGGAGAAGGCUAUGUUGGCCGGGCGACGGUUGUCCCGGUUUAAGCGUGUAGGUGUGUGUUCCAGGUAAAUCCGGUUCACUUUAACACUGAGGCGUGACGACGAGGCACUACGGUGCUGAAGCAACAAAUGCCCUGCUUCCAGGAAAAGCCUCUAAGCAUCAGGUAACAU
rnacentral:rRNA from 1 species